rnacentral:rRNA from 1 species
CGGACGGGUGAGUAAUGCCUAGGAAUCUGCCUGGUAGUGGGGGACAACGUUUCGAAAGGAACGCUAAUACCGCAUACGUCCUACGGGAGAAAGCAGGGGACCUUCGGGCCUUGCGCUAUCAGAUGAGCCUAGGUCGGAUUAGCUAAUUGGUGAGGUAAUGGCUCACCAAGGCGACGAUCCGUAACUGGUCUGAGAGGAUGAUCAGUCACACUGGAACUGAGACACGGUCCAGACUCCUACGGGAGGCAGCAGGA